rnacentral:rRNA from 1 species
UUAAGCGACUAAGCGUACACGGUGGAUGCCCUGGCAGUCAGAGGCGAUGAAGGACGUGCUAAUCUGCGAAAAGCGUCGGUAAGGUGAUAUGAACCGUUACAGCCGGCGAUGUCCGAAUGGGGAAACCCAGUGUGAUUCGUCACACUAUCGUUAACUGAAUACAUAGGUUAACGAGGCGAACCGGGGGAACUGAAACAUCUAAGUACCCCGAGGAAAAGAAAUCAACCGAGAUUCCCCCAGUAGCGGCGAGCGAACGGGGAGCAGCCCAGAGUCUGAAUCAGCUUGUGUGUUAGUGGAACGGUCUGGAAAGUCCGACGGUACAGGGUGAUAGUCCCGUACACCAAAAUGCACAGGCUGUGAACUCGAAGAGUAGGGCGGGACACGUGGUAUCCUGUCUGAAUAUGGGGGGACCAUCCUCCAAGGCUAAAUACUCCUGACUGACCGAUAGUGAACCAGUACCGUGAGGGAAAGGCGAAAAGAACCCCGGCGAGGGGAGUGAAAAAGAACCUGAAACCGUGUACGUACAAGCAGUGGGAGCACCUUCGGGUGUGACUGCGUACCUUUUGUAUAAUGGGUCAGCGACUUAUAUUCUGUAGCAAGGUUAACCGUAUAGGGGAGCCGCAGGGAAACCGAGUCUUAACUGGGCGUUAAGUUGCAGGGUAUAGACCCGAAACCCGGUGAUCUAGCCAUGGGCAGGUUGAAGGUUGGGUAACACUAACUGGAGGACCGAACCGACUAAUGUUGAAAAAUUAGCGGAUGACUUGUGGCUGGGGGUGAAAGGCCAAUCAAACCGGGAGAUAGCUGGUUCUCCCCGAAAGCUAUUUAGGUAGCGCCUCGUGAAUUCAUCUUCGGGGGUAGAGCACUGUUUCGGCUAGGGGGUCAUCCCGACUUACCAACCCGAUGCAAACUACGAAUACCGAAGAAUGUUAUCACGGGAGACACACGGCGGGUGCUAACGUCCGUCGUGAAGAGGGAAACAACCCAGACCGCCAGCUAAGGUCCCAAAGUCACAGUUAAGUGGGAAACGAUGUGGGAAGGCACAGACAGCCAGGAUGUUGGCUUAGAAGCAGCCAUCAUUUAAAGAAAGCGUAAUAGCUCACUGGUCGAGUCGGCCUGCGCGGAAGAUGUAACGGGGCUAAACUGUGCACCGAAGCUGCGGCAGCGACACUAUGUGUUGUUGGGUAGGGGAGCGUUCUGUAAGCCUGCGAAGGUGGCCUGUGAGGGUUGCUGGAGGUAUCAGAAGUGCGAAUGCUGACAUAAGUAACGAUAAUGCGGGUGAAAAGCCCGCACGCCGGAAGACCAAGGGUUCCUGUCCAACGUUAAUCGGGGCAGGGUGAGUCGACCCCUAAGGCGAGGCCGAAAGGCGUAGUCGAUGGGAAACAGGUUAAUAUUCCUGUACUUGGUGUUACUGCGAAGGGGGGACGGAGAAGGCUAUGUUAGCCGGGCGACGGUUGUCCCGGUUUAAGCAUGUAGGCGGAGGUUCCAGGUAAAUCCGGUACCUUUUUAACGCUGAGGUGUGAUGACGAGGCACUACGGUGCUGAAGUAACAAAUGCCCUGCUUCCAGGAAAAGCCUCUAAGCAUCAGGUAACAUUAAAUCGUACCCCAAACCGACACAGGUGGUCAGGUAGAGAAUACCAAGGCGCUUGAGAGAACUCGGGUGAAGGAACUAGGCAAAAUGGUGCCGUAACUUCGGGAGAAGGCACGCUGAUAUGUAGGUGAAGCCCCUGCGGGUGGAGCUGAAAUCAGUCGAAGAUACCAGCUGGCUGCAACUGUUUAUUAAAAACACAGCACUGUGCAAACACGAAAGUGGACGUAUACGGUGUGACGCCUGCCCGGUGCCGGAAGGUUAAUUGAUGGGGUUAUCCGUAAGGAGAAGCUCUUGAUCGAAGCCCCGGUAAACGGCGGCCGUAACUAUAACGGUCCUAAGGUAGCGAAAUUCCUUGUCGGGUAAGUUCCGACCUGCACGAAUGGCGUAAUGAUGGCCAGGCUGUCUCCACCCGAGACUCAGUGAAAUUGAACUCGCUGUGAAGAUGCAGUGUACCCGCGGCAAGACGGAAAGACCCCGUGAACCUUUACUAUAGCUUGACACUGAACAUUGAGCCUUGAUGUGUAGGAUAGGUGGGAGGCUUUGAAGCGUGGACGCCAGUCUGCGUGGAGCCAACCUUGAAAUACCACCCUUUAAUGUUUGAUGUUCUAACGUUGGCCCGUUAUCGGGGUUGCGGACAGUGUCUGGUGGGUAGUUUGACUGGGGCGGUCUCCUCCCAAAGAGUAACGGAGGAGCACGAAGGUUAGCUAAUCCUGGUCGGACAUCAGGAGGUUAGUGCAAUGGCAUAAGCUAGCUUGACUGCGAGCGUGACGGCGCGAGCAGGUGCGAAAGCAGGUCAUAGUGAUCCGGUGGUUCUGAAUGGAAGGGCCAUCGCUCAACGGAUAAAAGGUACUCCGGGGAUAACAGGCUGAUACCGCCCAAGAGUUCAUAUCGACGGCGGUGUUUGGCACCUCGAUGUCGGCUCAUCACAUCCUGGGGCUGAAGUAGGUCCCAAGGGUAUGGCUGUUCGCCAUUUAAAGUGGUACGCGAGCUGGGUUUAGAACGUCGUGAGACAGUUCGGUCCCUAUCUGCCGUGGGCGCUGGAGAAUUGAGGGGGGCUGCUCCUAGUACGAGAGGACCGGAGUGGACGCAUCACUGGUGUUCGGGUUGUCAUGCCAAUGGCAUUGCCCGGUAGCUAAAUGCGGAAGAGAUAAGUGCUGAAAGCAUCUAAGCACGAAACUUGCCCCGAGAUGAGUUCUCCCUGAGACUUUAAGUCUCCUGAAGGAACGUUAAAGACGAUGACGUUGAUAGGUCGGGUGUGUAAGCGUAGCGAUACGUUGAGCUAACCGAUACUAAUGAACCGUGAGGCUUAACCUU